UACAAAGAUGUGACCUCACUGCUG
rnacentral:piRNA from 1 species